rnacentral:rRNA from 1 species
UGUUGUUAGGGAAGAACAAGUGCCGUUCGAAUAGGGCGGCACCUUGACGGUACCUAACCAGAAAGCCACGGCUAACUACGUGCCAGCAGCCGCGGUAAUACGUAGGUGGCAAGCGUUGUCCGGAAUUAUUGGGCGUAAAGCGCGCGCAGGUGGUUUCUUAAGUCUGAUGUGAAAGCCCACGGCUCAACCGUGGAGGGUCAUUGGAAACUGGGGAACUUGAGUGCAGAAGAGGAAAGUGGAAUUCCAAGUGUAGCGGUGAAAUGCGUAGAUAUUUGGAGGAACACCAGUGGCGAAGGCGACUUUCUGGUCUGUAACUGACACUGAGGCGCGAAAGCGUGGGGAGCAAACAGGAUUAGAUACCCUGGUAGUCCACGCCGUAAACGAUGAGUGCUAAGUGUUAGAGGGUUUCCGCCCUUUAGUGCUGCAGCUAACGCAUUAAGCACUCCGCCUGGGGAGUACGGUCGCAAGACUGAAACUCUG